AUGUUGACGGUAGGAGCCUCCCAUGCAGUAGCAAAGCCCCACUGUGAGAUGACAAAGCCAGACCAUGAAGUCACAAGGCCAGGCAUUCAUGUGCAGUGUGGGGCAGGUGCCACAGGCAUCACUCCAGCAGCUGCAGGAGCAGCAGCAGUGUCAGCAGAGCCUGCACUGACAGUGCCAGCAGUGCCAGUGCCUGCAGUACCUGUAGUGCCUGCAGUGACAGUGAUGGUGACAACAGUGAGCAGUGACAGUGCCAGCAGUGGCAGUUCCAGCAGUACCAGCUGUGCCAGCAGCAGCAGUGACAGCAUGGUGCAGGCGCGGUGGGCCCUGGCCCUCAUCCUCCUCCUGGUGGCCCUGCCAGCCAGGGGUGUCGGGGCUGCUCCGUGGCGACCAUGGGCAGUGGCUCUGGAGCGUGAGCCUGUGGAUAAGAAGGCACCUCAGGAAGACCAUCAGGCAGUGCCAGUCCCCGGGGAAAACACCGGGGCCGUUCAGCCAACAGGAGUGUCAGGUCCAGAGUAUCAAGAUGGAAGGGGACAAUCUUCCCAGGACACAUCCAAAGUGCUACAUGAAAUCCUUGGACAGCUGAAGACAAUAGCACGAGGCGCCUCGCAGCUUCGAGAGCCGGCUCUGAGCGCCCCAACAGCCGGGCAGAAGCCAGCAGAAUAUUUGCAGGAGCGUUUAAAUAAAGAUCAGCAGCACAAUCGACUGGAUUGUACUGGCAGCAAACCCAG
rnacentral:lncRNA from 1 species